rnacentral:rRNA from 1 species
GACAGAGGUGCCAAGCGUUAGGCGGAAUCACUGGGCUUAAAGCGUGUGUAGGCGGACUGGUAAGUACCUUGUGAAAUCCCACGGCUCAACCGUGGAACUGCUCGGUAUACUGCUCGUCUUGAGCCACUUAGGGGCUGUCGGAACAAACGGUGGAGCGGUGAAAUGCGUAGAUAUUGGGAGGAACACCAGUGGCGAAGGCGGCUCACUGGACCGGAACUGACGCUGAGGCGCGAAAGCGUGGGGAGCAAACAGG